CCCUUAGAUGUUCUGGGCCGCACGCGCGCUACACUGAUGCAUUCAACGAGCCUAUCCUUGACCGACAGGUCCGGGUAAUCUUUGAAUCUGCAUCGUGACGGGGAUAGAUUAUUGCAAUUAUUAAUCUUCAACGAGGAAUGCCUAGUAGGUGCAAGUCAUCAGCUUGCGUCGAUUACGUCCCUGCCCUUUGUACACACCGCCCGUCGCUCCUACCGAUUGGGUGUGCUGGUGAAAUGUUCGGAUCGGCCAUUUGUCGCGGUUUCCGCGUCAUGUGGCUGAGAAGUUCAUUAAACCCUCCCACCUAGAGGAAGGAGAAGUCGUAACA
rnacentral:rRNA from 1 species